GUAGGAGUGAGCCUGCUCGCGAUGGCGGCGGGUCAGUCAGCGAUACGUUGUCUGGUAUGACGCUAUCGCGAGCAGGCUCACUCCUAC
rnacentral:misc_RNA from 1 species